rnacentral:rRNA from 1 species
UACGUAGGUGGCAAGCGUUGUCCGGAUUUACUGGGCGUAAAGAGCGUGCAGGCGGUCGUUCAAGUCGCGUGUGAAAGCCCCCGGCUCAACUGGGGAGGGUCACGCGAUACUGAUCGACUCGAAGGCAGGAGAGGGAAGUGGAAUUCCCGGUGUAGUGGUGAAAUGCGUAGAUAUCGGGAGGAACACCAGUGGCGAAGGCGACUUCCUGGCCUGUUCUUGACGCUGAGGCGCGAAAGCUAGGGGAGCAAACGGG